CUCCAAUAGCGUAUAUUAAAGUUGUUGCAGUUAAAAAGCUCGUAGUUGGAUUUCUGGUCGGAGCGACCGGUCGGCGUCCUUUGUGGCGUGUGCACUGUCGUCGGCUCCGUCCAUCCUGGUGAGGAGGCGUGUGGGCAUUCAUUUGUUCGUGCGUGGACUCGCCACGUUUACUGUGAAAAAAUUAGAGUGUUUAAAGCAGG
rnacentral:rRNA from 1 species